UAGUCCAGUCGAUUUGUGCAGAUUUUUGACAAAAUUGCUCAGAUUGUGGUAAAAGCAUGAAAUUUGGCAUAGUAGUAGUGUAUGUCAUGGACAACAUUUUAAGCUAUGGACCCAAUCUGAAAGUCGAAAUUGGCGGAAGAGGCGGCCAUUUUAAAAUGGCGGCCGUUUGAUCUCAAUAGAUUAAUAAUGAAAAAUCAUGAAAAUGAUAUUAGAGAAGAUAUUGACAUGAAAUCUGGUUAAUAGAACAGUGCUGAAUCCAAUUGUCUUGUAGAACAAAAGUUUUUGAAAUAUUACCCAUAUUGAAUGGCGGCCAUCUUGAAAAUCUUUUUUUUUUAAGACAAAAUAUAUAGUCAUUACUCGAUAUAAUAAAGAAAAAUGCAUUGUGGAAGAUAUACAAAUGUAUUUGUUGGAGCUAUAUAAACAGGACAAAAUGCGAGCCUAUCCCCUCCCCGAGUUAUUCUUCUGUUUUGUAGCGGGUACAAAAGCAUUAACACUCGGACACGAAGAGGAUCAUAAAAUGAACUAUUACUCUGAAAGCAAUAUUCGUGCAACCGCUUGUUCAAAAUAGAAUAACAGGAAAAUUUUAUUGUAUACGUACAGAUAAAGCAAGAAAAUAUUUGUAUACCUGUCGUUUAUAAUUGUUGGCUGAUUACUGGAUAAUUCGUUUUGUUGAUAUUGUUCAUUUGAAACAACUUUCAAAAACCUUGAUUGCAGACAUAUUGAAUUUUAUAUCAUACAAGUCAUGUUAUAAGAACAUAAACUGCUCAAAUGUUCUCAAUUGACGUUAAAAAUAUCUAACAAUAAAUAAAAUGUACAUGUUUUGUCAAACCACACUCUGUUUAUCAUAUUCUAUCGCAUUGUCCUCCACAUUAACAUAGAGUAGUACAACUUAAUACUGCCUUUACACAUUUGCAUUUCCUUAGUAACCGUGUUCACUUUGACUUAUAAGUUAAGCGCUUGCUGCAGGAAAUUAUUAUAUAGUCAUAUGGUAUAUUCAUCACAGAUGACAAGGACUGUCAUCUGAGGACUUCAUAUAUAUAUAUUUUGAUUUUUUGGUAGCCAUUUUGAAUGAUGGCCAUUUUGAAAACAUGAAUUUCCAAUAUAUCAUUAUUCGCUAAUCUUAUUAAUUCACUGUUUGCAUUCAUACUUUUUUUACUAAUUUAUAUUGGAUAUUUACAAAGAGGUCAGAUAAGGCAUGCGCAUGUUUACAAAAUUAAGAUAUC
rnacentral:lncRNA from 1 species